GGAAGAGUGGCCGAGUGGUCUAAGGCGCUGGUUUUAGGCACCAGUCAUUUGGAUGACGUGUGUUCGAAUCCCACCGCUGCCA
rnacentral:tRNA from 1 species